GACGAACGCUGGCGGCGUGCUUAACACAUGCAAGUCGAGCGGUAAGGCCCUUUCGGGGGUAUACGAGCGGCGAACGGGUGAGUAACACGUGAGCAACCUGCCCUUCUCUUUGGAAUAAGCGUUGGAAACGACGUCUAAUGCCGAAUAUGACCCCCUGUCGCAUGGUGGGGGGUGGAAAGCUCUGGCGGAGAAGGAUGGGCUCGCGGCCUAUCAGCUUGUUGGUGUGGGUAAUGGCCCACCAAGGCGACGACGGGUAGCCGGCCUGAGAGGGUGACCGGCCACACGGGGACUGAGACACGGCCCAGACUCCUACGGGAGGCAGCAGGGGGGAAUAUUGGACAAUGGGCGAAAGCCUGAUCCAGCAACGCCGCGUGAGGGAUGACGGCCUUCGGGUUGUAAACCUCUUUCAGCAGGGACGAAGCGAGAGUGACGGUACCUGCAGAAGAAGGACCGGCCAACUACGUGCCAGCCGCCGCCGUAA
rnacentral:rRNA from 1 species